rnacentral:pre_miRNA from 1 species
CGUGCACCGGUGGGGUCCCUCAGCCUGGCCUGUGGGGAUCGGGUAGAAACUGGCUCUCCGACAUCCCGAGGGGUCCCGGAUUGCAAGAGGGUGCAGGCCAGGCCGAGGGACCCCACUGGUGCAUG